GAUGAAGAACGUAGUGAAAUGCGAUAAGUAGUGUGAAUUGCAGAAUUCAGUGAAUCAUCGAAUCUUUGAACGCACAUUGCGCCCUUUGGUAUUCCAAAGGGCAUGCCUGUUCGAGCGUCAUUUGUACCCUCAAGCUUUGCUUGGUGUUGGGCGUCUUGUCUCUAGCUUUGCUGGAGACUCGCCUUAAAGUAAUUGGCAGCCGGCCCACUGGUUUCGGAGCGCAGCACAAGUCGCACUCUCUAUCAGCAAAGGUCUAGCAUCCAUUAAGCCUUUUUUUCAACUUUUGACCUCGGAUCAGGUAGGGAUACCCGCUGAACUUAAGCAUAUCAAUAAGCGGAGGA
rnacentral:misc_RNA from 1 species